rnacentral:rRNA from 1 species
UACAGAGGGUGCGAGCGUUAAUCGGAAUUACUGGGCGUAAAGCGUGCGUAGACGGUUAUUUAAGUCAGAUGUGAAAGCCCCGGGCUCAACCUAGGAAUUGCAUUUGAGACUGAAUAGCUAGGGUACGGUAGAGGGAAGCGGAAUUUCCGGUGUAGCGGUGAAAUGCGUAGAUAUCGGAAGGAACAUCAGUGGCGAAAGCGGCUUCCUGGACC